GUGUUCCUGGACAGCUAAAGGAAGGGGAAUUACUAGUUCCUUAGUAAUUUUAUUAGUAAUUCAAGAGAAUUACUAAUAAAAACUGGGGUUAUCUCAUUCAUUUGUUCAUUCACUCAUGCACCAAACAAAUGCUGUGUGUGGGAUCCAUCCAGUGUGCCAGGUGCUUGUGAUACCUCAGUCACAAAACCACAGUCCCUGCCCUCAUGGAGCUCAUGUUUGAAUGUCUACUCAGGCAGUGGACAUGCUCAUUUGCCUGGUGCCAGCCUGUGGUAGAAAUGCAGGUGCUGCCACGCAUCAAGAGGCCUCCUCAGUAGGUAGGUGGGUUGGAGCCUUCUUGUCAGUGCCCAUCUAAAGAGCCCAAUAAGGAGACCAGGGCAUGGAAAAGGAUGUGAAUCACUUUUCAAUACUAUUACAUAAAACAGCUUAAGAUGAAUGAAUACAGGAGGUCCCUGCCUAUAAGACGCAGGUCUGUGCCCAUAUGGAAGUUGAGAGAGAUGUGGACAAAGGCAAGCUGGAAGAGAUCUUCCCAUCAGAAAAUAGUGGGGUUGGGGAAAGGUGACAGCAAGAGGGACUGCAAGGCCCUCUGAGGCCUCACACAUGGUGCCUUGAGAGAUAUAGAAUACCCCCAGUUUUCUUAGGGAGGGUUGCAGCUGUUUUACCUGGUCUCAAGUAGAUUUUACUAGAAUGCUCUCCCUAGCCAUCUUCACAAGCAGACUAACAAGGCCUCCUCUUCCUCCUUAGCCUAAUCAAAUCCAUCUGGAGAGACAGAGGGCAUGGCCUCCCUUUACACCCGCUAUCCAUCUGAAUUACCUGGACAGGACCCGGAGUCUUGCUCACGCCAGUAUGAAAUUGUCCCUAGGCUCUCCUGACACUUCCCAGAGCUGCACUGUGUCUUCCUGAGUGCAAUGGAUCCAAGGUGACAUUUACAGGAGAGUGCUGAUUUGAUCUUGCUUCUAGGAAGCAGGGUAAGGCUGAGGUCCUUGGCCUUGACAAGGCAGGACCCAAAGGCCAAAGGUUGCUAUUUAAACACACGUUUCUAGCUGAGCAAGUUAAUGUUGCCAACGUUGACAAUAUUUAAAAAACGUCUCCCAUAAGCAGGAUGCUGCUGCUGCAAGCCAGACAAAGAAGCACCCACUGUCCCCCGGCAGCUCACUGCAUGCUUGGAAGUCAGUUGAAAACUUCGGAGAUCACUUUGUUUUACUCAGAAACUGCUUAUUUUUCAAAGUUAAAAUUUUUCAAAGUUAAUAUUUUUCAAAGUCACAAUUAAGCAGUUUCUGAUUUUUUGUUUCUACUGAGCUGCUCCAUUUGUUAUCUGUUAAGUGAUCAAAAUAGGCAAAGGCUUUCUUUUGACAUUUUUCUUUUUUUCUUUUUUCUUUUCAUUUUUUUUUUUUUUUUUUGAGAUGGGAGUCUUGCUCUGUUGCCCAGGCUAGAGUGCAGUGGCGCAAUCCCGGCUCACUGCAACCUCUGCUGGUAGGGUUCAAGUGAUUCCCAUGCCUCAGCCUCCUUAGUAGCUGGGAUUACAGGCACGCACCACCACGCCUGGCUAAUUUUUGUAUUUUUAGUAGAGAUGGGGUUUUGCCAUGCUGGCCAGCUGGUCUUGAACUCCUGACCUCAAGUGAUCCGCCCACCUCAGUCUCCCAAAGUGCUGGAAUUACAGGUGUGAGACACCACGCCCUGCCUCUUUGGACAUUUUUCUCACUCCAACAAUUUAAGGAGAAGAGAGGUUCUUAGUUACUGACAGGAAGGUGAUUGCCCAUUAUUCUGAAACUCAAAAAUAAAAGUGCAGAAAGAUUGAUCAGAGGAUUUGCUCUCUCUGGAAAUACCGGUCUUGCCAUCUUUCAAGCAAAUAGCGGCUCACUGGUAGGAAUUUCAAAACCUGUGCUUAAACUGCCAAAUUCCUUUCCUCUGCUGUUCCCAUUUCUCUGUAAUGAUGGCCCCAGAAGGGAGGCUUGGUGCAGGCUGACGCUUUCUCUGCCUUGGGCAGCAUGGAAUGUCUCGCCUUUGACACACAGCCAGGCUCCAAGGAGGUCCUCCAUAAACACUUGUGGAUACAUGUUUGUGGUCUGUGUCUGCAGUGCAUUUACCUUCUCUACCUUCUCUAUUAUAAUUCACAUUAGUCCUCCUUUGUCUCUCUAACAAUAGAGAAGGGUAGGAAAACCUUUUUUGUAACCUAAUUUCAAACUCAUCACCUAUUUCUUUCAUUACAACCUUCAUCAUUUACAGCAAGCAAAGCAAGCCUUAGGUCAUCAUUUUCCCAUUAGUAGAGGACAGCAAGGGUUCACUUUAUAUGAAUAUUCUUUCCCUUUCCCACAAAGUAAUGAUCUAAGACUUCUAGCUAGGGGGAAAAAAAAUGGUGUUCUUCCCAACCUGGAAAUGGCAUUGCUCAUUAAGUGACUGAGGCUUGCUGAAUCCUAUGCAAAUCAGUCCUGAUGAGCCUUUAACUAAUCUGUUUACAAACCAGACCUGCUAGACAGGCCUCAGUGAUUUUCUAUCAAAGCAAAAAGCACUGCUCUUUAUGGGCAUCUGGCUGUCCCUGAAUGGGUAGUUUAAACAUAGACUCUUUCCUUCAAAGUAAGAUCAAAGGCUUUAUGACUCCUAAAUGAGUGCAUUAUUUCCACUUACUACCUUCUUGUUUGCAAUUUGUGUUUAUUAACAGCACUGUCUCAGGUUUACUUUGUGAAUUACUAGUUUCUGAAAACAGUAUGGCAGUUUUAUGGACCACAGUAUACAUUUGUGGAGAUUAUGUAGCAUAUAAUAUAUAGAAUGGCCCAUCAGACAGGACAUUAGGCAAAGACAGUUCUCUGCAAAGAUGACAAUGCCUGACCAUGCAGAAUACAUUCAUGAUUUUUUUAAGGAAACCAUCUGGCAUAACAGGGCUAACACAAGAAAAGAUUCCCCAGCUCUCCAGAUUUGAUAACUCUUUGACUACCUUAGAAGAAUUUUCUUUGAAAUUUUAUUUCUUUUGAAGAGAGUAAGUACCUAAAGCUGUAUCGUAGGUGAGGGAAUGCCACUGGUACUUUUCAAGGAGAAGCACAAACAGGUUCUUUUAGAGAACAAGCAGAUUGUUUUAAAAACCACAACAAAGAUUCCAGCAUGUAACUAACCACUUAAGAAACCCUUCUUUUAGUCCUUCAGCUAGCAGCUUCCCAGUGCGAAGACAGAGGUCUCUAUCGUCCCUGGUCCUAACACAGAGAUUAGAACCCUGUCCUUCACUCCCACCAUCCAAUUCAUCUUAGGAGGAUAAAGCUGCCAAGAAAAUUGCAUCUUUUAAGAUUUGUGGUGACUCAGGUAUACAAGCUUCAAGGUGUCACUGACCUAUAAAAGGGACUAGACUAAACUGCAAUGAGUACAGUGCAAUGCAGGGAACAUCCACCUUUGGAAGGGGCAGCUUUUAAUGUCACUAGAUGGUCCAGCCAGAAAUUAAAU
rnacentral:lncRNA from 1 species